rnacentral:tRNA from 1 species
GCGGAGGUAACAAAGCCUGGAGCGUUUACGUGGGCAAUCAAAUGUGCAGGACUUAAGAUCCUGUCGGUUAGUCCGUUCGUGGGUUCAAAUCCCUCCCUCCGCA